rnacentral:tRNA from 1 species
ACUUAAAUAGCUUAUAUAUUAGAGCAUAACACUGAAGAUGUUAAUGAGAUUAUUAAUCUUUAAGUA